CGGCUUUGCGGUUGUCGUUAGCUCGAUAUUUCUGUUGCCGUGUACGGACGUUGCGACCCGUUUGGUGUCAGUCUACGAAGCAUAUGUAAGUUCGUUGAUACGUGUUAACUUGUUGACAUGUAUUACGAGUGUGUGUUUUCUGGCUGACUUGCCAGACGGUACAAAAUGGUGUCUGUGAAGGCUUUUAAGCUUUCAUAGUGCCGGUCUGCGACGAAUCUUCGGGCUUCUUUCCGACCCGUCUUGAAACGGGACCAAGGAGUCUAACUUGCGCGCGAGUCGCGGGGUGUCGAGUAGUGGCGGCGGCAACGUCGUUGCUACUCGUUACAAUACGAAACCCGUUCGAUGAAAGGCGUAAUGAAAGUGAAUUCCUUUCAAUGGAAUGGGGAAGAUGGCGUUACCGAGUUCACGUUUCGCAACUUGCUUGCGACCGGUCGUCCGCAUUCCCAGGGCGUUCCAACGGCCCGGCAGCGUUGCGGAUCGUCAUUCCUUCGGGGGUGGCGGUCGGGCGUUGUCGAUCCGGGGCGCACCUACAGCGUGCAAGUUGGUACCCGAAAAGAUGGUGAACUAUGCCCGGCCAGGAUGAAGUCAGGGGAAACCCUGAUGGAGG
rnacentral:rRNA from 1 species